rnacentral:rRNA from 1 species
GACGAACGCUGGCGGCGUGCUUAACACAUGCCAGUCGAACGGAAAGGCCCUGCUUUUGUGGGGUGCUCGAGUGGCGAACGGGUGAGUAACACGUGAGUAACCUGCCCUUGACUUUGGGAUAACUUCAGGAAACUGGGGCUAAUACCGGAUAGGAGCUCCUGCUGCAUGGUGGGGGUUGGAAAGUUUCGGCGGUUGGGGAUGGACUCGCGGCUUAUCAGCUUGUUGGUGGAGUAGUGGCUUACCAAGGCUUUGACGGGUAGCCGGCCUGAGAGGGUGACCGGCCACAUUGGGACUGAGAUACGGCCCAGACUCCUACGGGAGGCAGCAGUGGGGAAUAUUGCACAAUGGGCGGAAGCCUGAUGCAGCAACGCCGCGUGCGGGAUGACGGCCUUCGGGUUGUAAACCGCUUUCGCCUGUGACGAAGCGUGAGUGACGGUAAUGGGUAAAGAAGCACCGGCUAACUACGU